rnacentral:rRNA from 1 species
GACGAACGCUGGCGGCGUGCCUAAUACAUGCAAGUAGAACGCUGAAGGAGGAGCUUGCUUCUCUGGAUGAGUUGCGAACGGGUGAGUAACGCGUAGGUAGCCUGCCUGGUAGCGGGGGAUAACUAUUGGAAACGAUAGCUAGUACCGCAUAAUAUUGAUUAUUGCAUGAUAGUCAAUUAAAAGGUGCAAUUGCAUCACUACCAGAUGGACCUGCGUUGUAUUAGCUAGUUGGUGAGGUAACGGCUCACCAAGGCAACGAUACAUAGCCGACCUGAGAGGGUGAUCGGCCACACUGGGACUGAGACACGGCCCAGACUCCUACGGGAGGCAGCAGUAGGGAAUCUUCGGCAAUGGACGGAAGUCUGACCGAGCAACGCCGCGUGAGUGAAGAAGGUUUUCGGAUCGUAAAGCUCUGUUGUAAGAGAAGAACGACGUGUGAGACGUGGAAAUUUC